UUUCUGCCACCGAAUACAUUAGCAUGGGAUAAUGGAAUAGGACCCUGUCCUCCUAUUUUCAGUUGGUUUUGGCAGCGCGAGGACUAGGGUAAUGAUUAAUAGGGAUAGUUGGGGGCAUUAAUAUUUAAUUGUCAGAGGUGAAAUUCUUGGAUUUAUGAAAGAUUAACUUCUGCGAAAGCAUCUGCCAAGGAUGUUUUCAUUAAUCAAGAACGAAAGUUAGGGGAUCGAAGACGAUCAGAUACCGUCGUAGUCUUAACCAUAAACGAUGCCGACCAGCGAUUAGGAGACGUUGAAUACAAAACACCACCAUCGGCGCGGUCGUCCUUGGCGCGUUCGUGUUCACGCACGGGCGCGCGAGGGCGGCUUAGCCCGGUGGCACCGGUGAAUGACUCCCCUAG
rnacentral:rRNA from 1 species